rnacentral:lncRNA from 1 species
UUUUUUAAUUUUUUUUAUUUAUUUAUUUAUUUUGCUUUUUAGGGCUGCACCGAUGGCAUAUGGAGAGUUACAGCUGCCAGCCUACACCACAGUCACAACAAUGUAGGAUCCAAGCCGUGUCUCUGUGGUGUAGGUCAUAGAUGCGGCUCAGAUCCUGUGUUGCUGUGGCUGUGGUCUAGGCCGGCAGCUGUAGCUCCAAUUCAACCUCUAGCCUGGGAACCUCCGUAUGCCGCAGACGCAGCCCCAAAAAGACACACACACACACACACACACACACACACACACACACACACACACAGGAAUGGAACAGGAACACCAGAAGGAGAGCAGGGCAGAAGCUGCAGUAGGCCUGCUUGUCUCUGAGUCUGGAUGCAGGCAGAAGUGGCUAGAAAUCUGGGAUAACAGAUUUACGCAUAACUCCAGCUAUGGAGUGCUGGAUACAAAGCCUGGAGUUAGAGCUGAUACACUGCUGGAACCCAGGGGCUGGGAAAGUAGUCUGAAAACAGUUGCUGUAACCCAUUCCCUGGGGCUGGGGCUUAUUACAAAGAUGCUUACCUAGGGAGACAGGGCCUGGAGCUAAGCUAAGUUGCUACUGUGAGAUUUGAUUCUAGACCAGGAGACCCAGAGGACCUGGGGAGGCAAAGGAGAAAAUCCCCAGAUGAAGAAGGGAUGAGCUUAUAUACUCAGAAAUAUGAGGGAAACUAAUAUGAAAGAAGAACAAAAUCAGAGGAAAAUUUAUCCCCAAAGAAAUGAAAAUAACAGAGUAGUCAGAAAAUACAUUUAGUAGAAAUAGGUUAAGGAUCCUUGAGGCUAUUAGCGAAACAAGAAAUUUGUUAAAGAAAGGUAAAUUAUAAAAGAAACAAGAAUAUGUAAACAUGAAAACUUUACAUUAAAAAUUGUAGGAGUUCCCAUUGUGGCUCAGCAGGUUAAGGACCUGACAUAGUCUCUGUGAGGAUGCAAGUUUGAUUCCCCAGCCCUGCACAGUGAGUUAAGGAUCUAGCAUUGCUGCAGCUGUGGUGUAGGUCACAGCUCUGGCUCGGAUUCAGUCCCUGGCCCUGGAACUUCCAUAUGCUGUGAGUGCAGCUGGAAAAGAAAAAAAAAAGAAUGAGGUGAAAUAAAGAUAUUUCUGUACCUGCUAAGACAGUUUUAUUACCUACACGUCCUUGCUAGAAGAACUACUAAAGGUUUGUAUUUCAAUAAGGAGAAAACUUGGGGAGAGGAGCAGAUUGCUAGCAGCAAAACCAAGUGCAGAAAUUGAUGUGCGUUGGUAAAUUAACUGUAGACAGUGUAUCAGGAUGCUCACGUCACCCACAGGGACUUAAACUCCAGAAGAUAUUUAACUAGCUUGUAAUGAGAAGUUGGAGGGAGGGAGUUCCAAGUUUGGAGCAUUAGUCCAGUACUGACUUGAGGAACCCUAGGUCAUUCCAUUGUUCUUCUCUGCUGUCAUAAGGGUAUAAGAGCUCUCUCCUCAUGGUUGUAAGAUGGCUGCUGCAGCUCCAGGUAUUAUAUCACCUUAGAGCAUCCUAAGCAGGAAGGGUAGGAAAUGCUAAGAGAAAGGAAGCUUUCUAAUGUGCCUCUUUUCUAAGAAGGAGAAUCUUUCCAGGGAAGCCCCAGCAGACAUCUCAUGCUUCAUUGACCUGAGCUGGUUCAUCCUUAGACCAAUUCCUGGUAAAAUGGAACAGGCUUAUCUUAUCUCCUGGGACUGGGUUCUUUGCUGCCUGAACAAAAUCAGGAUUCUUUUGGCAAGAAAAAAGGGGGAAUGGCUGCUAGUAGGCAACCAACAGUGUCGGCCACAGAUGGCAAAACGCACUGAACAGAAACCCAGAAUCUAGUUUGUUUUAGUUUUAAAAUAGGAAAACUAAAAUCGUUGGCCACAUUAUCAAGGAAGAAUCAGGUAGAAUAAGGAAGGGAAUUUCAUUGUUAAAUCACAUCACAUUUCUGCCUUGUUAAAGGGAAAUACCGCUGCUGAAAACUGUAGACCUCAUUAGGAAAAUAUGUAUCUGCUAACAAUUUAAGAUAACCACUUUAGUUAGUUAGAAGAAAGAAUUUCCAAUCCAGAAGGAAAAAUAUUGGGAGUGGGGGUAGUGUGUCAAUCCAACACAAGUUAGGAAAAGAAAAGAGAACUAAAGAAAAAUUAGUGGAGUUCCUGUUGUGGUAUAGCAGAAACAAAUCCGACUAGUAUCCAUGAGGAUGCAGGUUCACUCCCUGGCCUCACUCAGUGCGUCAGGGAUCCAGUGUUGUAGUGAGCUGUGGUAUAUAGGUCGCAGAUGCGGCUUGGAUCUUGGAUCCCACGUUGCUGUGGCUGGGGCGUAGGCUGGCAGCCAUAGCUCUGAUUUAAUCCCUAGCCUGGGAACCUCCAUGUUUCAUGGGUUCGGCCCUAAAUUUGAAAGAAAAGAAAAACUACCAGACUGAAUAAAAUGCAAAUAAGAAGUAAUCUGGAGAGACUGAUCAGUAGGAACCUAACAGGAACUGCCCUUGCUUUUCUCACACAGGUGGUUCUGUGUUUUUAGACAAUUUUCAGUUCCCUGCGCCAUCCACCCACCUCUCCUCAAAGUUGAGCUUUGACUUGCUUUUUUUUUUUUUUUUUUUUCCCCACCCGCAACAUGCAAAAGUUCCUGGGCCAGGGAUCAAACCUGCACCAAUACUGGAUCCUUAAACACUCUCCACCAGGGAACUCCUGCCUUGCUAAUGAGAUAGUAUUGUUUUCCUAGACUGCUUUAUUCCUGCUGUAGAUGUGUAUAGCAAAUUCCUGGACUUCCCCCUCCACCACCCCUACACACCAAGAAACCACACUGGGACUCUUAAGGGGCAGGUUUGGAGCAGAGCUGGGACCCCAUAUCCCAGCUGUCCCCCUUCCCCAUGCUUCACAACCCAGCUUUCCUCCCCUUAGAGCCUGUUCCUUUGGGGGCAGCAUCCAUCCUCUUGCGAUGGAGACUGAUGGUUUAUUUCUCUGGGACUUCCUUGAAAGUUACCAGAGUGAUGAUCAUAGGAUGGAAGAAAUGCGUAAGUUCUCACUUUCUGAUUUCCUGCCUGCUAACUCUGGGCAGCAUCAGAAGUACCAGAGCUGAGAUCACAGACUGGACAGCAUGUCAGAGUGAGUGUCCUGCAGGAAGGCAGGAGCGCCUGAAGCAGAGGCUGCUGGAGGGAUCGUAAUUGAUGAGCGUGGUAGACUGAGUCACUAGGGUAACAGUGAGGGGUUUAUGCCAGAGGCUGGCGCCAGCAGGUUGCAAUGUGAGGACUUCAGUUAGCCAAGCAUGUGGAAGUGAAGCAGCCAGUUUUCAGACACAUCAAGGACGUGCUUCUCUGGGCUUGAGUUGAGUAUAAGGGAGGGGCUGUCAGGUCUCUUCCUCCAGAUGAUGACAGGCACUCCAGGGCAUCUUCUGCCAGGGUUGGCUGUUGCCACACUCAGGAAGCAGGGCGUUUGCUGGGUUGUUAGGUUGGCAGGGUUCUGGGACACAGGGAACCUUCUGAUGGUUGUACUCCAGUUAGUGGAGAAAGCCUCUCUGGAUGGCAGUGAAUGCUUGUGGAAGGAGCACUGGCCUUGGAGCCAUCAGAUCUGGAAUGUAUUAACGCUCCGUCGCUUAUCGCCUGGCUGACCUCGUUUUGCUGUCUUGGGACUUCUGCGAAUACUGAAUGAGAGGCUAUGCCUGCAAAUGCUCAGAAACUCAUAAAGCAUCAUGCAGUGUGCGUACUAAUCUGUGGUUUGAUGCCUUUACACUGAGGCUCUGGGACACAUCCUCAGGCUGUGUGUCAGUGGGUGGAAAGAGGGUGCUUUAUCAGUGUCUCGGGCCAGGAUUUUUUUCUUUCUCCCCACCCCUUCCAAUUCAAGCAGCCUCCCUCCCUCCAUCCUCCGUGCCUUAUUUUGACAUUUCUUUUCUCUGCCUGCCAAGAAGAUUGUGUUCAGCUGUGCUGGUCUGAGGCUGUGCUAUCCUGUGCUUCGUUAGGUUAAUUCGAUGGCUUGUCUUCUGGGAACUGACUGGGGACUAGCUCUAAAACCCUGCUAGCCUCUAAAACCCAAUCCCCACUGUUUUCCUUGGGGCAAGCUUUGCCGCUGAAUCCCACACACCUUCGUUUUCUCUCCUCCACGCAGGAGCCGGCAAGGGCCUGCUUUGGCCCCACCUUGGUUCCUUGUAUUGGCAAAAUUGCUCAAGCAUGCAUCCUCUGAUUGGUAGAAGGCUCUAAGGGAGACCAUCAAAGCUGCCCCUGACCUUCUGGAUUCUGGUUGCUAGUUUCUCUGUUCAGCCUCAGCAUCUUAAACUUGACCAGCCAUUCAGGGGAUAUUUGUUGUUAAAUGGUCUCACCAUAUUUGCUAAAUUUGUGACCACAAACCUCUUGGAAGACCCUAGCAUUGCCUACCACUAAAUUUCCCUCAUUACUCCCCUUCUCUCUUAGAGGACCAUUCACUCCUGUUUUCUGUAAUCCUCCAGCCCCAGCAUCAAAGGUGUGUCACUCCCUGUGCCCAUGCUUUGCUUCACCUCCUGCUAUACAGGUCGACCUCCAUGUGGGCACUGCCUCUCCCUACCUCUUGCUCUGUUCUUGCUACUUAAGGACUUGCUUCGUAAUUAUCCUCUUUUUUUUUUUUUUUUUUUUCUACAGCAUUAACCUCUCCCUCUUCUGAACCAUCCCCACCAGCAUUCUGUAAUAUUUCCCAUUCCACUUUAUCUCAUUCCCCUUUUUUGGUAACACCUUUAUUGAGAUAGAAUUCAUGUUCCAUGCUCUUCAUCUAUUUCAGUUGUACAAGUCAGUUGGUUUUAGUUUAGUCACAUGGUUAUGCAAUCCUAGACCACAAACAAUCUUAGAACAUUUCAUCACCCCAGGAGGAAACUCCAUACCCAUUACCAGUCACUCCCCAUCUCUUCCAACCCCUAGCCCUGAGCAAUUACUAAUCUACUUUAUGGAUGUGUCUAUUCUGGACAUUUCAUAUAAAUGGAAUCACAUCAUGUGUAGUCUUUUGUGUCAGGCUUCUUUCACUUAGCAUCAUGUUUUCAAGGUUCAUCCAUGUAUCAGUGCUUCAUUUCUUUUUAUGGCUGAAUAAGAUUCCAUUGUAUGGAUAUUAGAUGUUUUGCUUACUCAUCAGUUGAUGGGACUUGGAGUUCUUUCCACUUUGGAGCUAAUAUGAAUAAAGCUUCUAUCAUUUGUGUAUGUAUUUUUGUGCGGAUAUAUAUUUCUCUUGGGUGUAGACCUAGGAUUAAAAUUGCUGAGUCAUAUGUUAACUCUGUUUAAUCUUCUGUCUGCCAGACUGUUUUCCAAAGUGGCUGCGCCAUUUUUCAUUCUCACCAGCAAUGUAUGAGGGUUACAAUUUCUCCAUCUCUUCCUUAAUACCUGUUAUUAUCUGUCUUUUUGAUUAUAGCCAUCCUUGUAGGUGGGAAGUGGUAUCUGAUUGUGGUUUUGAUGUGUAUUUCCCUGAUAGCAAAUGAUGCUGAGCAUCUUUUCAUCUGCUUGUUGGCCAUUUCUCAUCCAGUCAGAUGUUUGCCCCUUCCAUACUUUUGGAUCAGCCACUGUGAAGGUCACUGCUGACAGCCUUCUCUUAUCUAUGUCAGACCUUCCCUCGAUAAUUUCUUCUGGUCCUGUAGUUUUAAAAGUGAACUGUACUCAGGUGACUCUCAAAUGUAUCCCUCCAGCUCUGACCUCUUCCAUGAGCCUUAGACAUCUGUGUCCUGCUGCCUGUUGCCAUUUCCACAUGGACUGUUAAAGGGCAUCUCAAAUUGAACCUGUCAUCAACAGAACUCUUGCUUUUUUUUACUCCUGAAAACCCAUUUCUCUCCUGACUUUUCUGCAUGAAUGAAUGGCAUCCCACAACCAGGUUGCUCAGGCCACAAGCUGAGUCCUGAUUUGGUCUUCCCUGCCCACCCACCACCCUCCAUCUAGCCCAUCCGUUAAGCCCUUCACAAUACAUCCAGCUACUUCUCACCACCUCCGCUGCCUGGGUUUUUGAAGUAGCUCCUCUCUGGUCCCCAGCUCAUCUUACGCAGCAGCCAGAGAAGUUCCUUAGCAAAAAAAUAUUUUAACCUAAAAACUAAAACAAAUUAGACUUUAUUGAGAAAUGCAUCACACAUUCAGAAUAGUAUAUAUCGGAGUUCCCGUCGUGGCACAGUGGUUAACGAAUCUGACUAGGAACCAUGAGGUUGCGGGUUCGGUCCCUGCCCUUGCU